AGCGGAUUUGAACGUUGCGAAGC
rnacentral:rRNA from 2 species